GUUAUAAAGGCCGUGUCAUACAGCUCCAGGUGGUCACACACAGCUUCUAAUCCAUGGUUGAAUGGGUGAACAGACCAGCGUCCGUGUUGACGGCCUGACAUCAUCGUCAACAAAUGACAAGCGGAUUGGAAAGAUAGGAAAGAUUUCGCAUCUGGGCCGCAUCUAUCCAUUAACUUUGUAUGUAAUCUGGACGUAUGGACAUUUCGUGACGCAUCCGGUGUGAACGCAGCAGCCAAUCAGGUCGCAGAACACAAUGCGCGUUCAUACACAGUAAAAAAAAAAAAAAAAUGCUUGCAAAAUUGCAGUUUAAAAAAAAAUCCACGAAACACCGAGGCGCGAAAGGUGAACCGUGUUUUAGCGAGGGUUUACUGUAUUUAAAUAAAGCUGGUUUUGUCAUCGAACAUACUGGACACGGACGAGUAAUUUUCCUCCAUUUCAAAAUGGUGCCCAUUUAUUUACUACCGCUAACGUCAUCUGUGACAUAAGCCGGACUUCCUGACAGUGCUCCUAUGGAGGUUCCAGUUCCGGUCCUUCCAGACUGCAAGUAAUCCCAGCAUCCAAAGGUGGUGAAGGUUAAAGAAAUUAGACUUGAUAAUCGGUCAAAGAGGACAGGCAACGUUUCGGCCUUCCUCAGGCUCGUUGGAUCACGUCGUGGGGUCUUUACUCCACCUACCUUUGGUUUUCCCUCUUCUGUCUUUUUCUUAAACUCCUCCGCUAUCUUUCCUUUCUACACUUUCCUUAUUCUCUUCCUUACUUCCUCUCUUAAGUUCCUCUUUUCUUCUCUUUUGCUCUCAAUUCUCUUCUUUCCUAUAACCUUUCUUUGCUCUUGGUCAGUGACCUUUCUCUGUCCCUCAUCUUUUUGGGCUUUGUGUUUAAAGGGGGGCUCAGCCAUUGUUGAAAUUACAAAUGCAUUGGUAUUCGCCUGUUUAUUUCUUUUGUUUACACUGGAACAACACAAAAAGCUAGAGGAAAAAAGCCAAAUCUGAUAUCAUUCUACACAGAACUCCAAAAAUGGACAGGACACCAUUAUUGGCACCCUCAACUUAAUAUUUGGUAGCACAGCCUUUGGAAGAAAUAACUGAAAUCAAUAGCGUUCAUCAAUGAGGUUCUUACACCUCUUCUGGAAUUUUGGACCACUCUUCUUUUCCCAACUGCUCCAAGUCCCUUUGAUUUGAAGGGUGCUUUCUCCCAACUGCUGUUUUGAGAUCUCUCCACAGGUGUUCUAUGGGAUUUAGUUCUAGACUCAUUGCUAGACACAUCAGAACUCUCCAGCGCUUUGUCUUAAGCCAUUUCUGGGUGCUUUUUGAAGUGUGCUUUGGGGCAUUGUCCUGCUGGAGGACCCAUGACCUCUGACAGAGACCCAGCUUUCUGACACUGUGCCCUACAUUGUGCCCCAAAAGUCUUUGGUAGUCUUCAGAUUUCAUGAUGCCAUGUACACAGUCAACGCAUCCGGUGCCAGAAGCAGCAAAGCAACCCCAAAAUAUCAGUGGAGCUCCUCCAUGUUUGACCGCAGGGACCUUGUUCCUUUCUUUGAAGGCCUCGUUUGGUUUUGUCUAAACAGUACAAUGAUGUACUUUACCAAAAAGCCAGACUGGAGUUUGCCAAAACUUACCUGAGGAAGCCAAAAUCCUUCUGGAAGAACGUCCUGUGGACAGAUGCGACCAAAGUAGUGCAUUAUCUGAUAGAUGUGCAGGGGUGCCAAUAUUUAUGGCCAUGACUGUAUAUUCUGUAUAACAAUUAAGCUUACAUUAUACAUAAAUAACUUUUAUUUGUGAUUACAGUUAGGGCUAUGGACACGGUUAGUAAAUAUUUUAGCGGUGAGCAAUUGUCCUUUCUUCAAAUUUCCACGAAUGUCCAAAAAUCGACUCCAAAGAUGCUAAAAACUCUCAAGGAUGAGAGUUAUAGGAAAAGGCUAUGAAUACUGUACAUGGGAUUUCUUCUUCUACCUUUUUCCUGUAAUUGUUUUCAAACUUCACAACUCGUAAAUAUUUAGUCUCUUUAAUUUAGUCUUAGUUUAGCUUUAGUCUGUAAAGGAAUGAACGCAGAAGUUCCAUGUUUGGCUCAAAUCUUUGAGGACAUGCUUUCGGUUUUGCUGAUUUAAGUUGUUGAAAGGAUGGAAAAAAGGGAAAAACUGACCAAGUAAAGAACAUUUAGAUUUUCUUUUGUUAAAAUGUGUGGUAAAUACUUGAGGGCAGAUGGACUGUGUACGGGUUUGGAACAGGUGGUGGUUGUUUGUUGGCUGUGGAGGCAGAUGCAGGUUCUCGUUAUGUGAAAUGGAAUGAAUGAGUGUAAGUGAAUGGAAUGUGAACGUGUUAAACAGUCAGCUGAUACGUGUACAGACACUUUAGAAACCAAAUAUGUCCUUAAAUUUCUUAGUUAAUGUCACAAACCAUAUGAGACGAUGACAAAUAAUAAGAGAACAUUUCUUUUAUCUUACCCAAUACAUUGCAGGUAAAUUUGUAUUUAUUUUGUGCAAAUUAAACUAUAUUUGUGUUUAAAUUUACAUUUAAUACUUUAUAAAAUGUCAGGUUUAAAUACAAACAUUGGAAAAUAUUAUCCUAACUUAAUGUUAGUCAGAAAGGUUUUAUUUUAGUGAGAAUUAUCAAAACUCAGCCAAUAAAAAAAAGAACCACAUCA
ensembl:lncRNA